CUGCUUCCUCUCUUACCACAGCAGUUGUGGGGAUGCCAUUCCAGUGACCACUUCUUCUACAAUGACAUUUGCGGGGUUGGAUAUACUGUUUUGUCUUUGGAACAUCUCAAAAUUUAAAACCAGAAGUCCAGGUAAAUCUCAUCACCUGAAGACAGAAUCAAACCAUCCUCAGGCAUUUAUUCUUUGACUUUGGAUUUGCGUUUGCUUG
rnacentral:lncRNA from 11 species